CAGCAUACUGGCCCUGUGCACUAGAUAAGAACAAUAGCAGAGGGUUGUGGACUGGUACAGACACACACUCCCCAGGGUCUUAAUCUGCCAUGCCAACCCACUCACUGCUGCAAUUCUAUUAAAAGUUUGGUGGGGCUGGGUGCGGUGGCUCAUGUCUAUAAUCUCAGCACUUUGGGAGGCCGAGGCAGGCAGAUCACCUGAGGCCAGGAGUUUGAGAACAGCCUGGACAACAUGGUGAAACCCUGUCUCUGCUAAAAAUACAAAAAUUAGCUGGGCAUGGUGGCAGGCACCUGUAAUCCCAGCUACUCGGGAGGCUGAGAAAGAUAAUCGCUUGAACCCGGAGGCAGAGGUUGCAGUGAGCCGAGAUUGUGCCACUACACUCCGGUCUGGGCGACAGAGCAGGACUCUGUCUCAAAAAAUAAAAAAAUAAAUAAAUAAAAUAAAUAAAUUUAAAAAAACAAAAUUAAUUAAAAAAAAAGUUUGGUGGUUUCUCCUUACCCCUAUCCAUGGCAGAUUCAUCUUUCUCUGCUCCUUCCCAGUGAUGAAAAUGUCUCUCUUCUUGCUAGGAAGGAAUCUUCACUUUCUGAAAUUUAGUUCAUUUCACUUCUUUGCAUCUGAAGCUCUCUGAUAGGUUUUAAACAAUUGUGAUAUUGUAGCUUACCUGGUUCAUUCUCAUUGUUAGGAUGGGAGCAAGUCUUCAGCAAUUUUUGGCAACCUAAAUGGAAGUGGAGCUCGUUCUUUUUGUUUUUAUUUAUUUACUUUCUAUUUCCAGUAACUAGAUGCCGAUCUAUGCAGCUGGGAUAGGAAUAGAUUUGAGUGAUCCUAACUCAAAAUCCCAAUUCCUUUCCUAUGUCAAAAGCUUUCUAUUGGAUAAAGCUCAUAAUCUGUGACUCCUUCUCUCACUUGCAGUUGCCCCCCAAGAGGCUCUUCAGAACCAAUUAAAUGGAUUUCUGUCGGGCCCACCCGUCAGUGUUACAGAGAUGUCUAAAUCUCAAUAUUCAAGGCAUGGCAAACUCCUCACCCGUCAGCUACCCAAUGCAUCUAUUGUUACAGUAAGAAUACACUGGAGAGGGGCAAUCCCUCAAAAGCAUUUUCAGCUUGGUGACAUCAAGGCUUACAGAAAAGGGAGUGAUUUCAGGGUGAGAGUAGGGUAGGAACACCUACCUACUAAUGUUUCCUUGGUUUCUUCUCGGAGCUACCCUUUUCCACAGUUAAUCCUGUGGUAACUCCUUGAGCUAGGUCUCAUUUAACGCACAAGCAUGCUGAGACUCCAAGUCGGGGUAUAACUUGCUGGAGGUAAGUGGCAGAGCUGGGAUUUGAACCCACAUCUGACUCACUCUAAAACCUAGGCUUUUAAAAUUUUUUCUUGACCAACAUGGAGGAAGGCAUGGCAGAAGACAGAAUAGGCAGACCACUGCUCCCCGGUCAGGCCUGGGACUGACCUGGCAGGUGUCGGCCCUGGGGUCAGAACCACGUUGGAGGCUGUAGCUUCUGAGAACAGUGCUCUUCUGUCAGGACCCCACCUCACAAUGGAUUCAGGUACUCUCGUAACCUUGAGCAGUGCAUUUAGUCUUUUUCUGAAUAUCAGCAGUUUUCUGAAAACUGGAGUUGUCCCAAAUCCUUUGAAAACAUUCGUGUGGGAAAUUGGGAGCCACUCCUCCAAAGGUCACUGUCCCAAUAACUGGAUUUAUAGAAAGGAAAGGACAGAAAGGAGCAGCCCCCACGUUCACCCCAGCCCCUGCCCAUCCCAGUCUGCACAAACCUUCUUGCCACACCAGAGGCCACCUCACGCUUGGCCUCUUCUCCCUGGCACGGUGGCUUACACAGGAAAAGCCAAAGUGUAAUUAGUUAAUAGCAGAGCUCCUCUGUUAAUGGAAAGGGCAUUUCAAACUUACUUAUGCAAACUGAUACUGUGGGAUUUGUCAGAAACCAUCAAUAGGAUGCAACAGAGAGGACUCACAGGUCAUUUGUCAAAUGGGGACAAACCUUGUCUCAUUUAAGCUUUGAGACCCAGAGUGGCUCUCUGAAUUGCUGGCCUGCUGGGAUGUAAGAGCACUGGGGGAGGAAGCUGGGACCCCUUUUUGGAGCAUCUUUUCCCUCAUAACAGUUCUGGUCAGGACUGCUACAUACCCAACAGGCAUGAUCUCAGCUGUUCCUCACCACAACCCAAUGAGGUAGUUACUAGUACUGUCCCUAUUUUAUAGCUGAGGAAACUGAGACUCAGACAGGUAAGUACCUAGACUAAGGUUAAGUAUCUAGUCAAUGGUGAGCCUGGAACAUGAGCCCAAGAUUGCUUGAAUUCCAGGUCUAGGUGGUUAAACACUUUCCUGGUACCUUUCCAUUCAGCAGUUGGCCUACUCUAAAACCUAGGUUACUAAUAGAAGAUGACAGGGGAUCCUCUGAGACUGGUUAUUUAUCACCACACCUCUUUUCUCCUCUUCUUGGGCUCAUGGCCACACUAUAUUUCCCAGACUCCCUUGCAGUUGGGUGUAGCCAUGUGACUGAGAGCUGGCCAAUGUCAUGUGAGUAGAAGUGUUUCUCCUCUACCCCCUUAGGUGAUCUUCAUGCUCAUUCCAUGGCUAGAAUGGAAGUGAUUUCCAGGACCACCUUGAGAGCCAUGUGUUGAAGGUGCUGGGGAGAGGAGCAGUGAGCAAACACAAAAUCCCUGCCUGUUUAGAACUGAUCUUCUAGUGGUGGUGGUUGGGGCUGGGAGCAGCUGGACAGUGAAUUACUAAACAUUUGAGCAGAUACCUGAAGAUAAAGAAGUGGGCCAUGGAGAUCUUUGGGGAAAGGGUGCUGCAGGCAGAGGGACUGGUCAGUGCAAAGGCCCAGGCCAGAGAGCAUGUGUCAUGUUGGAGGAGCAGCGAGGUGGCCAGUGUGGCUGGAAUGGUGAGGGCCAGGGAAGGGAUGAUCCUUGCCUCCCACCCUGUCACUGAAGACCAGGAGAAGAGUGAUCCCCCGAAAUGCCCUCAGCUCCUGAAAUGCCCACUGUCAACAUUCUUGGUUACAGACAACGGCAACACCUGUUUCAAGAAUAAAAUGGAUCUAUUGAAUAUUUGGGAUCAUUAGGAGUUGAGGGGCAGGGAAAGCAAAUUCCAGGUUAAGUUUCCAGAAAAAGUGCCCCAACCGCACUGUAGAACUGGCCUGAAGAUGAAACCACCAUUGCAGCUACUGAGAACUCAAUGAUAAGAACUUGUCAUUUCUACCCUGUGCACUGCUGCUUCCCAAGAACUGAUGCUACCGUGUCAGCGAAGGGAUUCCCUUGCUGAGCCCAGUUCCUUACACUGCUCACUUCAUUUCUAAAGCAAAAUCUUAUGCAGGUGUGUACAAAGACAGAACUAUGUCACAGGCCUGCAUUCUAACUGCAAGAGAGGCUGGCAGUUUGAGUUGUGACUACAAUGGGGAGGCAAGAAUGCUAUCAUGAGAUUUUCCCCCAUUAUAGAAAGGAUUGGCAAAGAUAGAGCCAAAGUUCCCUGUAGGAGAUGUGUACAGAAGGUCUGAUGAAAAUUCGAAGUCUUAUUCAGAACAAAAGGCCUAGAUAACCUUCCAGGGACCCUGGAAAGAAUGAUGCCUAGGAAGGUGGCUUCUGUCAUGAAGUGAUCACCAACCAUGGCAAUGUCAACUGGGGAAUGGCAAGGGGGAGUGCUGGGCAUAGGGUCCAGCUCCCAGGAAACUAGAAGGAGCCCAGGAAGCUAGAAGGCAAGCUUAUGUCAGCUUGGUCUUUUUAACAGGGCUCCACCCUGCCAAGAGAACAAGGCCUACAUGGGAAAUUAUGAAGAACACACACACGCAAAAAAAAAUCUGAGUUUGCUUUGUGUAGGGAUUUAAUUACUGACUUAUCCUGAUGCUUAUGUAUACUUGCAGCUUAGAAAAGUGAAGACAUCUUUCUGGGACAGUUCUGGGAAACAGAAGCCCAUGCGCACUAAAAGGAACCAAGGAAUGUUUUCCAUGUAUCCUGAGCUGGACACCAAACAAAUGUGUUCCUCUUUCUUUGCUCACUUAGAAGUCUUCUUCCUGUCCUGGGUUAAUUGACUUCAACUUUGAAGGAGAUGAUGUUUAUUUUCAUCUUCGAAUCUGACCUGAUACCAUUUAGAAAUUAUGAAUAAAUUUUAAUACAUUGGAACCCUAUGUUAAACCACAAUGCAUGAGUGGAUGAGUCACAAUUCCAAGACAGCUCAAUGCCCCACACAACUAAGACACAGAUGACUUUGGUGCUCCCCAAAUCACUUUCCCAUGAAGGGCAAGGUUCUCUCGGCAGGGUGGGGCAUGGUCAGAAAGGAGAACUUCAGCUUCUGCUUCAAAACAAGCUUCCAGGCUCAGAUGGGCCCUGCUGUCUCAAACACUGCUCUUCACCCUGCCACGCUUUGUCCUUGCUGGGCUCGCCAUCCUUCAAGGGCCCCCCUCCAGGAAGCUGCCCUCUCGUGGCAGGCAUCUUGCUGGUAGCUCCCAAUUAUUUUGUGAGAUGGGAUGCAGAACAGAGUUGCUUUGGAAGCCCUGGAGGGUAUUGAGGGUCUGACUUUUGGGCCGCAGGACCUCUGCAAAGCCUGAUUCCUUGAAGACAUCACUUUGACUUACUUGGUCCCAGAGCCUGUCUUGUUUUUAAUUUCCCUGCUAAGUUUCUGUUCUCCAGCAACAUAUAACCCCCUUUUUCUACUUCAGUAACCUCAGUGGUAGCUCUCACCAUGUUAAACAACGGUCUGAUUUGGCAUGGAAAAAAAGCAGUCAAUUGUUCCCUUUAAAUCUUAAUGUUUUCAGCCCUGGGAACAUUUGAAGUAACUAUUUAAUGAGAAGACUUCUGGUGAAGCAUAGGUAAGAUCUUAAAGGCUCUAAUUGCUCCCCAGAGAAAGCUGUCAGGGCUAAGUAACCUCAUUCAGGUUGUGUACGCAGAGCAGGGAGAGCAAAACAAGGCAGAAGUGAAGAGUGGAGGCUGAGGGGGCAGAAGUCACAGAGACUUCUCGAACCUGGAAGUAUUUCUGGAGUUGUGCCUUGCACUGUCUGUUUUGGGUACCUGCUGGCUGACUGCUAUGCCCCCAAAUGGUCAAACAAAUGACUUACUCUUUCCUGGGUCUAGUUGCCUUCUAAUUUGGAACUCAAAUUAUAGUUCUUUCUUCUCCUCUUUCAUUUAAAUACAAAGCAAAACAAAACAAAAUCUGAAACUAUUUUUCCUUCUAACCCC
ensembl:lncRNA MIR4432HG MIR4432 host gene